rnacentral:rRNA from 1 species
UACAGAGGCCCCAAGCGUUGUUCGGAUUCACUGGGCGUAAAGGGUGCGCAGGCGGCAUGGUAAGUUUGGUGUGAAAGCUUCGGGCUUAACCCGGAAAUGGCAUUGAAUACUACUGUGCUGGAGGAUUGGAGGGGGGACUGGAAUUCUUGGUGUAGCAGUGAAAUGCGUAGAUAUCAAGAGGAACACCAGUGGCGAAGGCGAGUCCCUGGACAAUUCCUGACACUGAGGCACGAAAGCCAAGGGAGCAAACAGG